rnacentral:tRNA from 1 species
GCCGGGAUGUCGGAAUCGGCAGACGAAGGCGACUUAAAAUCGCCUGGGCGAAUGCCCGUGCGGGUUCGAGCCCCGCUCCCGGCACCA